AUGCAUGAUGCUACGACUAUGGAGGCAACUACCAUUGCCACGACAAGUGAAGCAAAUACUCCGUAACCUAUGGCACCUGUUGAAAAUUCCGAAAAGUUUGCGGGCAUUGACUUCAAGUGAUGGCAACAAAAGAUGUUCUUUUACCUCACCACUCUAUGUCUUCAAAGUUUCACUAGUGAGGAUGCUCCUUAGGUGCCCA
rnacentral:lncRNA from 1 species